rfam:Felis catus isolate Cinnamon breed Abyssinian chromosome B1, whole genome shotgun sequence.
GCCUGGGUGGCUCAGUUGGUUGAGUAUCCAACUUUGGCUCAGGUCAUGAUCUUGUGGUUUGUGGGUUCGAGCCCCACAUCAGGCA